rnacentral:tRNA from 1 species
GGAAGUAGUUCAGUGGCAGAGCACUUGCCUAGCAUGCAUGAGGCCCUGAGUUCCAUCCCCAGCACUG